AGAGUUUGAUCCUGGCUCAGGAUGAACGCUAGCGACAGGCUUAACACAUGCAAGUCGAGGGGCAUCGGGGCGAGGAGCAAUCCUUGCCGCCGGCGACCGGCGCACGGGUGAGUAACGCGUAUGCGACCUGCCCGUUGCAGGGGGAUAAUCGGGAGAAAUCCCGUCUAAUACCGCGUAACGCCGCGGGGCUGCAUGGCCCUGCGGCCAAAGGAAGCGAUUCCGGCAACGGAUGGGCAUGCGUGACAUUAGCUAGUUGGCGGGGCAACGGCCCACCAAGGCGACGAUGUCUAGGGGUUCUGAGAGGAAGGUCCCCCACACUGGUACUGAGACACGGACCAGACUCCUACGGGAGGCAGCAGUGAGGAAUAUUGGUCAAUGGGCGCGAGCCUGAACCAGCCAAGUCGCGUGAGGGAUGACGGCCCUACGGGUUGUAAACCUCUUUUGUCGGGGAGCAAAUUCCGCCACGCGUGGCGGAGUCGAGAGUACCCGAAGAAAAAGCAUCGGCUAACUCCGUGCCAGCAGCCGCGGUAAUACGGAGGAUGCGAGCGUUAUCCGGAUUUAUUGGGUUUAAAGGGUGCGUAGGCGGACUGUCAAGUCAGCGGUAAAAUACGGGGGCUCAACCUCCGCCCGCCGUUGAAACUGACGGUCUUGAGUGGGCGAGAAGUAUGCGGAAUGCGUGGUGUAGCGGUGAAAUGCAUAGAUAUCACGCAGAACUCCGAUUGCGAAGGCAGCGUACCGGCGCCCAACUGACGCUGAAGCACGAAAGCGUGGGUAUCGAACAGGAUUAGAUACCCUGGUAGUCCACGCAGUAAACGAUGAAUACUAGCUGUCCGGGGCGAAUGAGCCCUGGGUGGCACAGCGAAAGCGUUAAGUAUUCCACCUGGGGAGUACGCCGGCAACGGUGAAACUCAAAGGAAUUGACGGGGGCCCGCACAAGCGGAGGAACAUGUGGUUUAAUUCGAUGAUACGCGAGGAACCUUACCCGGGCUCAAACGGGGAGUGACUCAGGCAGAGACGCCUGUUUCCCACGGGACACUCCCCGAGGUGCUGCAUGGUUGUCGUCAGCUCGUGCCGUGAGGUGUCGGCUUAAGUGCCAUAACGAGCGCAACCCCCGCGUGCAGUUGCUAACAGAUAACGCUGAGGACUCUGCACGGACUGCCGGCGCAAGCCGCGAGGAAGGCGGGGAUGACGUCAAAUCAGCACGGCCCUUACGUCCGGGGCGACACACGUGUUACAAUGGCAGGUACAGCGGGAAGCGACCGAGCGAUCGGCAGCGGAACCCGAAAACCUGUCUCAGUUCGGAUCGGAGUCUGCAACCCGACUCCGUGAAGCUGGAUUCGCUAGUAAUCGCGCAUCAGCCAUGGCGCGGUGAAUACGUACCCGGGCCUUGCACUCACCGCCCGUCA
rnacentral:rRNA from 1 species